AGGGGAAACAGCCUGAGCAAAGGCCCUGAGGUGUGUUUUGGGAACUGGGAGCUUGGUAUCUUCUCUCCUCUUGCAUCUGUCGUGCAGUGCCCAGGCAAGCAGGCCUGUGUCCUCAGGGUGAGCAGGCCACUGGACAGCCACCCGAGUGUCCAUCUCUCCUGUGGGUGGACUGCUGUGGUGUCCAAGGCCAGUGCUGUGCUGUUUGCUCCAGGGCUGGUGCCUGCCUCACCGAGCUCGGGGCUCUGGGGACUCUGCUCUCUGGGCUGAGGUAGGCAGGAUACAUAAAACUUUAAGAGCUGAUGUCAUCUCUGAAAAAUGCCCCCUUCCUGCAGAGCCAGGGGCCCAGUGUUUGUGUUGGAGGGGAUGGUCAGCCUGGCAUGGCUGGGGCUGCUUGGGGGCUGUCUGUCUCUGCUGUCCUAUUCCUGUUCUCUCUCCUUCCACCAGCUCCAAGCCUGGCUCUGGCUGGAAGGACCUGGGUCUCACAGCGAAUUGACUCCCCACCACCUCCCUCCCCCUCCAGUCCAGGAUCCAGGGCUGACUGGGGCCAGCCUGAGGCCUGCAGCAACCAGGGCAGGACCCUACCUUUGGGUCUGAAGUCCCUGGGGGCCAGGCCUGGCUGAAAAGCAGACCCUCAGAUCGGAGGAUGGCCACCCAUACUGGUGAGGGUGAUCUUCGCUCCAUCUGCAGAUCCACAUGCCAAGAUCUUCUGAAAACACCCUCAUAGUCACACCCUGCAAUAAUGUUUUACCAGCUGUCUGGACAUCGCUCAGCCCAGUCAAGUCGACGCAUAACAUUAGCCAUCUUAGCCCUCCUAGAGGAGGUGGCCUGUGGGCCAUCUUGAAGGACCGUUAGGACUUGAAGAAUCUGAGACUGGGCAGGAAGAAGGGCAUUUCAGCUGAUCACUAUUUCCAUCAUCGCUGAUGGCGUGCUCUUGUACCCUUGGGGGCGUAGGAGGAUAAAUUUGGUUACAUCCAAACUUGAGAAUACUGUGGACUGCUACGAACGAGCUCAUUGAAGAAGUAAGUGUUGGUGAAGAUGUGGAGAAAGGGGAACCCUCGUGCACUGCUGGUGGGAAUGCAAACUGGUGCAGCCGCUGUGGAAAACGUGUGAGGAUCCAAGAAAUCAGCAGCCUGCAGCCCAGAAGAGGGCCCUCAACAGAACUUGACCGUGCUGGUACCCUGAUCUUGAACCUCCAGGCUCCAGAACCGUGAGAAAUACAUUUCUGUGGUUUAUAAGCCACACAAUCUAUGGUAUUUUGUUAUAGCAGUCCAAAUGGACUAAGACAUAUACCAAGAAGUGGAGUUGCCGGAUCAUCUGGUAAUUCUAUUUUUACAUUUUUGAGGAAUUGCCAUACUGUUUUCCAUAGUGGCUGCACCCUUUUACAAUUCCACCAAGAUUGCACAAAAGUUCCAAUUUCCCC